AGAGUUUGAUCAUGCCUUAGAUUGAACGCUGGCGGCAGGCCUAACACAUGCAAGUCCAGCGGUAGAGAGGUGCUUGCACCUCUUGAGAGCGGCGGACGGGUGAGUAAAGCCUAGGAAUCUGCCUGGUAGUGGGGGAUAACGCUCGGAAACGGACGCUAAUACCGCAUACGUCCUACGGGAGAAAGCAGGGGACCUUCGGGCCUUGCGCUAUCAGAUGAGCCUAGGUCGGAUUAGCUAGUUGGUGAGGUAAUGGCUCACCAAGGCGACGAUCCGUAACUGGUCUGAGAGGAUGAUCAGUCACACUGGAACUGAGACACGGUCCAGACUCCUACGGGAGGCAGCAGUGGGGAAUAUUGGACAAUGGGCGAAAGCCUGAUCCAGCCAUGCCGCGUGUGUGAAGAAGGUCUUCGGAUUGUAAAGCACUUUAAGUUGGGAGGAAGGGCAUUAACCUAAUACGUUAGUGUUUUGACGUUACCGACAGAAUAAGCACCGGCUAACUCUGUGCCAGCAGCCGCGGUAAUACAGAGGGUGCAAGCGUUAAUCGGAAUUACUGGGCGUAAAGCGCGCGUAGGUGGUUCGUUAGGUUGGAUGUGAAAUCCCCGGGCUCAACCUGGGAACUGCAUUCAAAACUGUCGAGCUAGAGUAUG
rnacentral:rRNA from 1 species